rnacentral:tRNA from 1 species
GCCAGUGUAGCUCAGUUGGUAGAGCAACGGUUUUGUAAACCGUAGGUCGUCGGUUCAAGCCCGACCACUGGCU